rnacentral:rRNA from 1 species
UACGAAGGGUGCAAACGUUGCUCGGAAUUAUUGGGCGUAAAGCGCACGUAGGCGGCUUUUCAAGUCGGAUGUGAAAUCCCUCGGCUUAACCAAGGAAGUGCAUCCGAAACUGGAGAGCUUGAGUACUUAAGAGGAUCGCGGAAUUCCCGGUGUAGAGGUCGAAAUUCGUAGAUAUCGGGAGGAACACCAGUGGCGAAGGCGGC